CGGGGUAUAGCGCAGCCUGGUAGCGCGGAAGUUUUGGGUACUUCAGGUCGUCAGUUCGAAUCUGACUACCCCGACCA
rnacentral:tRNA from 1 species